rnacentral:tRNA from 1 species
GCCUAGUUAGCUCGGUUGGUGGCGCAUCUGCCUUGUAAGCGCUAGGCCGCGGGUUCGAUUCCCGCCCGGGGCG